UACGAAGGGUGCAAACGUUGCUCGGAAUUAUUGGGCGUAAAGCGCACGUAGGCGGCUUCUUAAGUCGGUGGUGAAAUCCUGGAGCUCAACUCCAGAACUGCCUUCGAUACUGGGAAGCUCGAGUCCGGGAGAGGUGAGUGGAACUGCGAGUGUAGAGGUGAAAUUCGUAGAUAUUCGCAAGAACACCAGUGGCGAAGGCGGCUCACUGGUCCGGUACUGACGCUGAGGUGCGAAAGCGUGGGGAGCAAACAGG
rnacentral:rRNA from 1 species